rnacentral:rRNA from 1 species
UACGUAGGGUGCGAGCGUUAAUCGGAAUUACUGGGCGUAAAGCGUGCGCAGGCGGUUCGUUGUGUCCGAAUGUGAAAGCCCGGGCUUAACCUGGGAAUGGCAUUGGAAACUGGCGGGCUUGAGUGCGGCAAGAGGGGGUGGAAUUCCGGCGGUGUAGCAGUGAAAUGCGUAGAGAUGCGGAGGAACACCGAUGGCGAAGG